rnacentral:rRNA from 1 species
GACAGAGGAGGCAAGCGUUGUUCGGAAUCAUUGGGCUUAAAGGGCGUGUAGGCGGCCCCGAAAGGGUGGGGGGAAAUCCCAUCGCUCAACGAUGGAACGGCUCGGCAAACUGCGUGGCUUGAGGUCGGUAGAGGUGCUCGGAACUCUAGGUGGAGCGGUGAAAUGCGUAGAUAUCUGGAGGAACACCGGUGGCGAAAGCGGCUCACUGGACCGAAUCUGACACUGAGGUGCGAAAGCGUGGGGAGCAAACAGG